GUGUCUCUCUCUGUGUCUCUCUCUCUGUCUCUGUCUCUCUCUCUCUCUGUCUCUCUCUGUCUCUCUCUCUGUGUGUCUCUCUCUGUCUCUCUCUCUCUGUGUCUCUCUCUGUCUCUCUGCCAGAGAGUAAGGGUGGAGUAUUAGAUGGUCCCCCUUUGGUCAGCAAUGGUUUGGUCCAGUUUUAUCUUCUCCCUCUUUAUUCAGGAAUGGUUUAUUCUCCUCUGAGAGAUUGAUGAUGAUUGAUGGUAUACAGGAUUAAUUCCAGACUGAGAUGGAGGUGUAGGUGGUGUAUCAGAUGAAGGUUUAGUCCAGAAUGAGAUGGAGGUGUAGGUGGUGUAUCAGAUGAAGGUUUAGUCCAGAAUGAGAUGGAGGUGUAGGUGGUGUAUCAGAUGAAGGUUUAGUCCAGAAUGAGAUGGAGGUGUAGGUGGUGUAUCAGAUGAUGGUUUAGUCCAGAAUGAGAUGGAGGUGUAGGUGGUGUAUCAGAUGAUGGUUUAGUCCAGAAUGAGAUGGAGGUGUAGUGUGUUCGAGCCUCAGUCUUAUGGAACAGGAUGUUCUGGUGUGAGAGAGAUGGAGGAUGCUGAAGAAUCGACCCCUUGGUCAAGCACAAGGUGGUUUGUGUUUAAUGCCCUGCUCCGGUCUGAUUGUGUAUCAGAUCCCACACUGUAUAACACUUAGCUGUCUGUCAGAAUAUUAAUGUUAGAAACAGUAUCUGUUCUCGUCUCCCUGUAGAAUGGGAAAGAACCUAAAAUCUCAAACUGCACAGAACCAUUUUACUAAAAGAGGAAGAAAUUAUUUUUCUACCUUUCUACUCAUCUAACAUUCUCUCUCUCUCUCUGUCCCCUCUCCCUCCCUCUCUCUCUCUCUCUUUCCC